ACAGCAGUCGCCGCGGUAAAACGUAGGUGGCAAGCGUUGUCCGGAAUUAUUGGGCGUAAAGGGCUCGCAGGCGGUUUCUUAAGUCUGAUGUGAAAGCCCCCGGCUCAACCGGGGAGGGUCAUUGGAAACUGGGAAACUUGAGUGCAGAAGAGGAGAGUGGAAUUCCACGUGUAGCGGUGAAAUGCGUAGAGAUGUGGAGGAACACCAGUGGCGAAGGCGACUCUCUGGUCUGUAACUGACGCUGAGGAGCGAAAGCGUGGGGAGCAAACAGGAUUAGAGACCCCCGUAGUCCCUGUCUCUUAUAC
rnacentral:rRNA from 1 species